GAGCCUUGAUCAGAACACUGUCUUUGCUCCAUGCUUCUCUUUCCCCAAACUCUUUUUUUUCCAGCCCUCCUUUUCAGGUGAGCUCUGCUCAGCUCUAAGUCGCUGGGUACAGGUGGUACCCGAACAGGCACUCCUCCUGAACAGGGAGGACUUGCUGAGAAAAGCUGCUUUUUUUUGAGCAUCCACGGAACAAAUUGAAAGUAAAAGGCAAUUCAGAGUACAGCCCUUCAAAGGAUAAUAAAGGAAAAGAUGCAACACAAGGAGGGAAAUGAUGCCCUAGAAAAAGCAAGAAAGUAAUCCUUCAACAAACCUAAAAGAAGAUGGCCACAAGAACAGAAUCCCAACUCUAACAACAAAAAUAACAGAAGUCCACCUCAGGGACAAAGACAGACACUACCUCAGAGUAAAAGGCUGGAAAAGAAUUUUCCAAGCAAAUGAUCCAAAGAAACAAGCUGGAGUAGCCAUUCUAAUAUGGAAUAAAAUCAACUUCCUACCCAAAGAUAUCAAAAAGGACGAAGAGGGGCCCUUCAUCCUCAUCAAAGGUAAAAUCUUCCAAGAUGAACUCUCAAUUAUGAAUAUCUAUGCUCCAAAUGCAAGGGUAGCCACAUUUAUUAAAGAAACUUUAGUAAAGCUUAAACUACACAUUGCACCUCACACAAUAACAGUGGGAGACUUCAACACCACAUUCACAUCAAUGGACAGAUCCUGGAAACAGAAACUAAACAGAGACACAGUCAAUCUAACAGAAGUUAUGAAACAAAUGGAUUUAACCGAUAUCUACAGAACAUUUUAUCCUAAAACAAAAGGAUAUACCUCUUCUCAGCCCCUAAUAGUACUUUCUCCAAAAUUGACCAUAUAAUUGGUCACUAAAUAGGCCUCAAUGGAUACAAAAAUAUUGAAAUAAUCCGAUGCAUCCUAUGAGAUCACCAUGGACUAAAGCUGAUGUUCACUAACAUCAUAAAUAAGAGAAAGCCAAUAUUAAUGUGGAUGCUGAACAAUACUCUACUCAGUGAUAAUUUGGUCAAGGAAG
rnacentral:lncRNA from 1 species